CAAUGGCGGGCUACUAGGCGGAAGCUCAUGGCACCAGUCACCAACAGGUCGUGUACAAAGGAUGUUCAUCAAGGAGCUGGAGGGAGGACAGGAGGCUGGAUGAGCAAAGAAGAAGGUGCUGCAGGAACAUACUGCUGCUCCCGGCUGCUUCUCUGAACUGGCAGCUCAGAUCAGAAUCUACUGCAGGUGUCCCUUUCUGUUUUUGUUGUUUUCCCAUUUUAGGCACUGAAUGCACGGUUUUCAUCAGUCUUAUGGCGUACACCUGCGCCUGCUGUGUCCAAUAAAACCAUCCCCAUUCAGCCCUGUUGGGGGCCUCCCUGCUCUGGCUGUCGGUGUUGUCUGAACUGAUGGCAGCUGUGGCCUUUCUUCUGUUCAUUGUUCUUUAGUAAUUUGUCAGCCUACAUUUGAUUUUC